AAAGAACUUGAGAUGGAGAGAGAAUCCUGGUUUAUCCAGGUGAGACCAAUGUAAUCACAAGAGUUCUUAUAAGAGAGAGGCGGAGUCAGAGUCUGAGGAGAGGUGUGGUGACAGAAGCAGAGAUAUGAGUCAGAGAGAGAUUUGAACAUGUCGUGCUCCUGGCUUUGAAGAUGAAGGGUCCACAAGCUAAGAAAUGUGGGCAACUGCUAGAAGCUGGAAAAGAUUUGUACAAUAGAAUAUAAAACUGCAAAGCUCAACACCAAACAUUCAGUUGACCAGCCUUGAGGAGAUCCAAACCAUCACUGUAGCCCACCCGUCAGAGCAGGGGCUUCUGGAAGGCUGGUGAUCAAUGGAGCUUUGGCUCAGGUGCAUUUCACAGUGGAUCUGCUCUGGAGACUCAGCUGUCAGAAUUGAUAACAGCUGUUGGACACCGGAGCUGUUUUAUUUUUGCCAGGAGAUAACAGAGUGAAUGACUUGUAGCAGCUUCGGAACCCUGAUGAGUUCAAGGCCCGGAAUGGAGAUUGCAAAGGGUAAUUCCCAGAUAAUUCAAGGGGACGGGGAAGCUAGACAAAUCCCUGUUUCACUCUUUGAAAUUGUGCUAUGAGAAAUGAACUGAGAAAUCUGAGAUGAAAAAUCGCCUCAUGUAGAGUCCUUCAGAGAAUUUCUAUCUUCUUUUGCCUUUAUUCUUUGGGGACUGAAUGCCAACCCAACUCAUUUUUGAAAAUGGGAUUUCUCUUCCAUUUGGAGCAAGAUUUAAUUUAAGAUAAAAUUUGAUGCUUCCUUCAAAGAGACCAAAUGUCUUAGAUAUAGGCCAGGGAAAGUAUUGCUGGCUACUCAUGUGUCAUGGAUCUCCUUCUUCCUUUUCGCCUUUUGGUAAAAUUGGUGGUGGUGCUGUAGGGGUUUCAGAUCAUUCAGAUGUUGUGUUUUCUUUCUUUCAAAAUGCUGAACACAUUCAGCACUUCUACAAGGGAGAGACAGAUAGUACAUACCUCAGUUUAGGCAGAAAACUUACUUUAAAGAAAUUUAAUUCAGCAGGAAGUUAGUGUUUACCAUGUGCCAAAACAUCUGGUCGGUGCUGAAAUUCAUAGAUGAAUAAGAUGCUGGUCCUUCCCUCACAAGGCUUACCUUCACCAAGGAGACAGAUGUGCAUCUGACUGACUCCAGCUUGCAAUGGCACUUCGGUGGCUUUCUCCGUGAUUUCACACCAAAAAAUUCCAGAUGUGAGUCCUGAGAUAUGAUGACAUUUCCUAGCGGACCACACAAUGAUUCUGCUCCCCAACCACUGCCUAGCCCAUUCUGAGGUGGCCCCAUUGACCUUUCUCCCAAUACCCAGGCGGCCUUCGAGGAAAAGUCCCUGUUGAAUUGCAUCCAGGCUGCAUCUUCCCCACAUGCCUCACAUCAAGUUCAUCCUUUUCACUGCUGUUUGUGGAAGUGAAUUUUGGUCCCAAUCCAGCCCCAUUUCUUUCUGCUAUGCCAUCUUCAGUCAAUAUCUACAGUCUUCAGAUUUCUCAAGUUUUAACUCAUUGGUAAGAAAAAUAGAUCUCAGAUGAAGUGUAAAAGGACUCAAGGCAUAUUAAACAUGAGCAACUUCACAAAAUCAAAUGAACAGCAACGACAACACAUGGAGUGUAUGAAAAACAAAACAGAAGUAAAGAGGGAAAAAAAAUCCCACAGUAUGGAAAAUACAAAUGAAGAAGAAAGUAAUAAGAAAUGAUUUUUUCAAAGUGGUUUUGGUACCACGGGACAUUUAUCAAUGUCUGGGGACAUUUUUGGUUGCCGUAGUUGGAGGAAGGUUGCUCCUGAUGUCGAGCAGCUAUAGGCCAGAUGCUGCUAGACAUCUUAUAGAGAACAAGACAGCCUCUCUCCCACAACAAAGAAUUACUCUGACCAAAAUGUCAAUAGUGCCAAUGGUGGGAAAAACUAAUCUAAAAGAAUUUGAUGAGGACAUGGGUGAAUAAAGUAGAAAUCAAAAAUGAAAUGAUGGAGAAUAAAGAAGAGACAAUAGAGAACUAAGGAAGCAUAUUGAGGAUCCAAAAAAUACCAUUAAUCCAACAGAAUAGACCUGGUUGAAACAUAGAUGUCACCUUUUAAUGCAAGCAAAAUCAGGGAGAUUAAAACAUUUAGGGAGACCAUAGGUGAUAUGGAAGACAAUGGCUAUAAUUAGUGUCUGUCAUUAGUGUCUCUGAAUUAAAGGUCUCAAUAAAUAGAACAAAACUGUAUUCAAAGACACAAAAUGAGAACGACUUUUUUUUUCCUGGCAUGAGAGAAGAAUUGAAUCUGAUAGUCAAGAGCAGCUCUGUGUUCCAACCAUACUAGCACAGGUAUUUUCCAUUUCUGUAAAUGAUGGGCCAUGUUAUUAAAAGCAAUCCUCCUGCUGAAAACUACCAUAAACAAUUGGUUAAAAGACAUUUUCAAAACUUGAAAAUAGAGUGUGGUACUGCUAGAAUAAACUGUGCGGGAGCAUUUAACCAAGGGCAUGAACAGUGGUAACUUAAAGGGAUAUGGUGUAAAAGGAAAGGUUUUUAUUUUGUUUGUUUUUUUAAAGUGGGGCAGGAUUAGACAUGAUCACACAAUAAUGUGCCCAUUUGUAUCACUACCACUAGCCUGGAAACACUGGUCUGAUCAUUUUUCUGAGGAUCCCGUUCUACAAAUUUCUGCAUGAUGCCUUGGAGGACUAGUCUAGUCCCUCAGAACACCAGAUCUGGGGCCUUCAAACCUUGCCUAGAUUUCUGACGAGUCAAAAGAAGAAAAUCAGAUGAUAUUAAAGGUUACAUUGUUUCUCAUUCCCAAUAGAUAACUUUAUUUUUCUCAUCAAGCACAUUCCUUGUGGCUACUGGGAUUUCGCAGCAAGCGGAAAUACUCAUAUCUUGUAGACAAAUCAAGUGAAGGUGUAAUAACAAUUAUUUCCUCUGAAAUAAACCAGAAUGGUGAUGUAUCAGCAUAAGGGUGAAAAGGUAUAUAUUCUUCACUUGUCAACCAGCUUACCACUCUGACUAGGAAAACCUUUCUCUUUUCACUAGGGCAUAGUGCCUUCUUAUUUGGAGAGACAACUUAUGCAAAAGACCUGGCAAAGUUCCUGGAACAUAGCAUGUGCCUGAUGAAUGAUCAUUACUUUCUCACCUUAAACAAGUACACUAUAUUUUAUUAUUUAGGGAGAGGGAAAGACCCAUUUUAUAUGCAAAUCUGGACAGGCUUAAAAUACUUUUCCCAAGUGUCCACUCAACUCCUAUCUCUUUAAUAAGAUUAAGUCUCUUUAAAGAAGAUAAAAAGAAAAAGCACGAGUAUAGUUAAUCAUUAGGGAAGAAUGAGAUUGGAAGUAAAGGGAAAAGAUGUCUUGAAGCAAACUCUUCCUGGAUUCCUUCUCUUCCUCCCACAAGAAUGCUAAGAUGUGGCUUUUCCCAUCAUCACACAAUUUAUAUUGUAUCAUUAAUAGUGUGGCGAUUCUUUAAUUGAAUUUAUUCAAUCUUUGUUCAUGCACUUUGGUAGGUGGAAGAAAUGCAAUAGGGACCAAACUAUAGUCAUUUAUUCAAGGUACUUAAGGAUAAUCAAAUAAACAGACAAUCGUAGUAUUCUUUGAUAAAGGUAAACUAAGCUUGAGCAGAGAGGAGCACACCAGAAGAGUUCCAACAAGUUAUUGGGCCACAGAGAUUAUAAAAUUUUCUAGAGAAAAAUACAUAGUAAGGGAGACGUGAAGGAUGAGUAGGAAUGAUCUGGAGACAAAGAGGAAAAACUCUUCUAGACAGAGGAUUAGCAUGGGCAAAGCCUAGCAGUAAGAGCAUAGUAUAGCCUUCCAGUAUUUCUUAUGCAAAUAUAAACAGGUAUGUAUGAACUCUUCUUGCUUACUCACAAGGUAGCAAAAUGUGCACAUUCCUCUUACUCUUCAUUUGUUCGGCUAAUAAUAUAUUCUGGAGAUCUACCUGUACAGGUUCAUUAAUUUCCAACUUCCAAAUUCCACUGUGUGGAGACAGCCAAAUCUAACCAGCCCUGAUUGAUCACUUGGAUGAUUUCUGAGUUUUGCUAUUGUAAAAAUGUUGCUCUGAAUAAAAUAAAAAUGUUUGCCCAGCUUGUCAUCUGUCU
ensembl:lncRNA